rnacentral:piRNA from 1 species
UGGCCUGUAUCGCCUAUACACAGAAGGCAGU